UAACUAACUGUUAAAAGUCCAAAAUUGG
rnacentral:sRNA from 1 species